ensembl:lncRNA novel transcript, sense intronic to LRRTM4
UUCUCUAAAUGCAGCAUGGAAGGUGAUUGCAUUAUUGACGCUGCCUACUCUGCACGGGGCAAACAAGCAAAAUUCAGCAGAAAGCUUGCCUUGUCAUCACAAGUUCUCAGAAUGUGAUCCCAGUGAGGUUCCACCACCUUCCACAGCUGAGUGGAAGCCCAUAUGUUAUUGAAAAGAGAAAAAGAAAAGAAGAAGAUUAAUUCAGUUGUCAAGUAUGUUUAUCACUGUGGCUCGUCACAUUCCAUUCCGAUGGCGUGAUGAAGGCACAGAUUGUUGUCUUAGUUGCGCAACCUGAAGAGUUUGCUGGAUUUAUGGGUAGAUCAUGGACAGAUCUAGAGUUCAAGGUAAAAGUAGAGGAAUAUUUAAAUCUCUAGCAGUCUGGCUGUUUCCUUUUGCGAGAAGCCACAACUGGGAGAGAUGAGCAGUUCUGAGGCUGCAUUUGCAGUUCUAUGCCUAUUGGUGUAGAGGAUGAAUGAUUUUAGCUUGAUGUAUCAUAUAAGCCUACCUUUGUUCUGACAACAUUUGUGAGCUUGAUUUACAAAUUUUACAGGCUACACAGACAUGGAUGAGGCAUCAUUUUUAUAAUUACUAAAUUUUCGUUCUCAUGGAUAAAGGGUACAGCAAUUGGAGAGUACACUCACUAGUAAAGAACUUAGAGGUAAUCUAUUUAUGAAGCUUAUUUGAAUAUGAAGCACUUUUAUUCAUGGUAAAUUGUCUUCCACAAGUUUUGUAUAAAUAGAAUUAUAAAUUAACACAGGAUGCUAUAAAUAUUAGAUAAGUUACAAAUAGAAAUGCAAAUGCAGUGUCAAAAAUUUUUAAUGGAAGAAUACCUACUUGGGAUUAUUCUACUAAGAUUGUCUUUUAAAUUUUAAACUAUUGAAAUGUUUGCCGAAGUAUUUUCCUUUGUUUCACUUUAAAAUACAAUAUAAUUUCUAAUAUUUAGUAAAUAAAUUUUCUAAGAAAGUGAAAGCUGCUAUAUUAUACUUUAUUGAUAAGAUAAAAUAUAAUGCAUAAAUUAUUAAUGAGUUGUAUCUAGUAUAGCUAUGUGCAGAUAUGAGACUAUACAUUGUAAAUAACAAUGUGCGCAUGUGUAUAUAUGUAUUGCAACAGACGUAUUAUAUGCUGUAAUUAUUGAAAUUGUAUAUUUAUAUGCAAAUUAUAUGUGAUAAAUAUACAAAUACAGAUAUUCGGUGAGCAAAUUUACAAUCAAGUCAGUUUUCCAGGGUUGAAUAGCCAGGUCACAAAAGAAAAAGUCACUCCAGUUACUCUCAAAAGAUUUCUAAUAGUGGCUUUAUUUGUAAUACCAUCACCAGAUAUAAUUCAGAGCCUUUGCCCAUCCUAGAAAUAGAAACAUUAACAUGACUUUUCAAAGUAUUGCCAUGUGAUUAAAAGAAUCAUAUGGAUAAUCAACUGACCUGUUGUUUUUGGCUAUCGUAGCCACCUAACAGUGUGAAAGUUUCAAGUGAUUACAAACAAAUUUAUGAAAUAGUUUAGACAUAUCCUCAAAACUGGUCAAUUUAGAAACCAUAAGUAGAAAAUACCUUUUAGCUAGAUAUAGUAGAUUAUAUGAGUCAGUAUUUUUACAAACAGCAUGCUGGCAUCUCUGGUCCAAGGGGACCUACUAUGCCAUGUUGUCAAAUUAUGCAUUAGCUCUUGAAUUCUCAUGAGUGCAUAAGUAUCAUAAGGUUUUCUAGCAUGUGCAUGAAUGCCUUAAGUAAUGGACUGCCAACUGCUUUCUGAGGGAAACUACUGCAUUUUAAAAGAGAUUUAAUUUUAGAGAAUAAAAAAUUUUGAAUACCCAAGUAUUUCUUUCUGUGAAUUCCUUCCACUGGUACUCUGUAUAUUUUUAACAUCGUACAGUGGUAAACAUUAUGACUACAUACAAUUAAUUAACUGAUAUUUUUCAGUAUAAUAUGCACAUUUGACUUUAAUUGGGAAUGUUAUUGACUGUUGCCUUAACUGUGUCAAACUUAUCCUCAUGUGAUAUAUCUGCUUAUGUUUGUGAGGAAAAACUUGUAUGCUAUGAAAAGUGACUUUCUCCUGAUGUUAA